AGGACGAACGCUGGCGGCGUGCUUAACACAUGCAAGUCGAGCGAGGCUCCUCCUUCGGGAGGAUGCCCUAGCGGCGAACGGGUGAGUAACACGUGGGCAACCUGCCCCUAGCUCUGGGAUAACACCGGGAAACCGGUGCUAAUACCGGAUAUGACCUCAGAAGGCAUCUUCUGUGGUGGAAAAGUUUACUGGCUAGGGAUGGGCCCGCGGCCUAUCAGCUUGUUGGUGGGGUAAUGGCCUACCAAGGCGACGACGGGUAGCCGGCCUGAGAGGGCGACCGGCCACACUGGGACUGAGACACGGCCCAGACUCCUACGGGAGGCAGCAGUGGGGAAUAUUGCACAAUGGGCGAAAGCCUGAUGCAGCGACGCCGCGUGAGGGAUGACGGCCUUCGGGUUGUAAACCUCUUUCAGCAGGGACGAAGCGAAAGUGACGGUACCUGCAGAAGAAGCACCGGCCAACUACGCGCCAGCAGCCGC
rnacentral:rRNA from 1 species